rnacentral:rRNA from 1 species
GACGAACGCUGGCGGCGUGCUUAACACAUGCAAGUCGAACGGAAAGGCCCUGCUUGCCGGGUACUCGAGUGGCGAACGGGUGAGUAACACGUGGGUGAUCUGCCCUGCACUUCGGGAUAAGCCUGGGAAACUGGGUCUAAUACCGGAUAGGAGCCAUUUUUAGUGUGAUGGUUGGAAAGUUUUUUCGGUGUAGGAUGAGCUCGCGGCCUAUCAGCUUGUUGGUGGGGUAAUGGCCUACCAAGGCGGCGACGGGUAGCCGGCCUGAGAGGGUGGACGGCCACAUUGGGACUGAGAUACGGCCCAGACUCCUACGGGAGGCAGCAGUGGGGAAUAUUGCACAAUGGGCGCAAGCCUGAUGCAGCGACGCCGCGUGGGGGAGGACGGCCUUCGGGUUGUAAACUCCUUCCGCUAGGGACGAAGCUUUUUGUGACGGUACCUAGAGAAGAAGCACCGGCUAACUACGUG